rnacentral:lncRNA from 1 species
UUACAAAGGAAGUUUGAAUGUUUCCAAGCUUAUACAAUAAGGAAGCGGUCUUUGUUCGAGGUUCCCUCGGGUACCUCAGGAGAGUCUUUGCUAGUGAACCAUUGCAGACAUAAAGUGGUGAGGUAAAAGAACAUCUUUUGCUGCCACCGCUUGAAGUCAAUGCCCAAAAAUUUUUCGGGCUUCUCUGCCGGUGCCAUUAUUGGCGGAGCAUUUAUGCGACUUGAUGUGGCAAUAUUAGUUGC